UACGUAGGGUGCGAGCGUUGUCCGGAAUUAUUGGGCGUAAAGGGCUCGUAGGCGGUCUGUUGCGUCAGGAGUGAAAACUCGGGGCUUAACCCCGAGCCUGCUUCUGAUACGGGCAGACUAGAGGUAUGCAGGGGAGAACGGAAUUCCUGGUGUAGCGGUGAAAUGCGCAGAUAUCAGGAGGAACACCGGUGGCGAAGGCGGUUCUCUGGGCCGAUACUGACGCUGAGGAGCGAAAGCGUGGGGAGCGAACAGG
rnacentral:rRNA from 1 species